rnacentral:rRNA from 1 species
GACGAACGCUGGCGGCGUGCUUAACACAUGCAAGUCGAACGGAAAGGCCCUGCUUUUGUGGGGUGCUCGAGUGGCGAACGGGUGAGUAACACGUGAGUAACCUGCCCUUGACUUUGGGAUAACUUCAGGAAACUGGGGCUAUACCGGAUACGAGUUCCUGCUGCGUGGUGGGGGUUGGAAAGUUUCGGCGGUUGGGGAUGGACUCACGGCUUAUCAGCUUGUUGGUGGGGUAGUGGCUUAGCAAGGCGUUGAGGGGUAGCCGGCCUGAGAGGGUGACCGGCCACAUGGGGACUGAGAUACGGCCCAGACUCCUACGGGAGGCAGCAGUGGGAAAUAUUGCACAAUGGGCGGAAGCCUGAUGCAGCAACGCCGGGUGCGGGAUGACGGCCUUCGGGUUGUAAACCGCUUUCGCCUGUGACGAAGCGGGAGUGACGGUAAUGGGUAAAGAAGCACCGGCUAACUACGUG